rnacentral:lncRNA from 1 species
CUCUGCCGCCCGCUCCGCCGCCCGCGCAGCCCCGGCGGCUCCGGGCGCGACUUCGUCCGUCCCGCUGCGCUCGGAACGGGAGCCGCCGGGGCAGGGUUUGGGCAAAAUGCGCGUUUAUCAGGAUCUAGAGAAGUUAAGAAACUUAAUUGUCAAAAGCGACUAAUUAAGAUCACUUUCCACUCUGCUGUGCUGCUGACUGUGACCUUCAAGCUGUUCCCAAACAUAUCAAACCAGGGCACCAACUGAAGUUUGGCAAGUCAUCUGCAAGCAUUUUGGGUACCCCUAUAUAAUAUCUCAGGUAAGUAUUAUGAGUUAACUGUAUCAGAUUAAAGAAAACAUGCCCACAUGAUAUUAUGCAAUACAGGCAGACAGAGCAUGUAACUGACUCUUUAAGAAUAAAUAACUAACUCACCAUAAAUGCUGAGCUCUAAGAGGUUCUUUUAAUGCUUUUACAGAACAUGCUUUAAAAAAUAUAGGCAGACAGUUUAGAAAUGGUUUUUCUGACUGAAGGUGCUGUCCCACUAGUGUUUGGUGUAACAUGACAAUUUCCAAAAAAGGACACUCAGAACUCUAAAAGUAAAAUUGACAUGCACUUGCAGUAAACAUACAAAUAUCUUUAACCAUAAUCUCAUAUGUGAAAUAUAGUUUAAGUUACUUAGAAUAUUCUUACACUACACUGGUAAAGUGUUUACUAUAUAAUUUUUCUACAAGACGUGUACAUAUACCAGAAAUCUUAAGCCACACAGGCAUCAUCAACAGCUUAUCACACAUACAUGAUGCUUCUCCCUUUCACACAAGUUUAUAUACACUGAGUAAAUAAUUGAAUAUUGCACUUAUUGGCCCAUGAUUCCUCAGUCUUGAGGUAUUAAAAAAUAGAAAAAAUACCUAUUUUAUAACAUUUUUUUCAUGCAACAUGUAAGACAUUUGAAAUCCACGAACACUAGUAUAUAGGUUACACAUUGUGACAGUCCAACCGAGUCACAACACAUCUGACACUACUGACAAAAUACCAAACAGGACUUACAGCACAAACAUUUCAUAUAUCACUAGUUGCAUGUACAUGUCAGAAUUACUCGAGGAAAUCUAUCACCAGAAGUGGUAAACAAUCUCUAACUUUCAUUUUUGUCUGUUAUGGGUGAACAUGAAGUUAUAGGAAAAUUAGGAGUUUUGCUUCCCCCAUGGAUCAGAUACCAAGUACCUUCAAGUACCUUAUUGUACAAAUGACAAGCCAUCUACCUCUGCUGGAACCAUGGAAAAUAAACUAUGAUCUUCAAAUGUAAUGCAUUUGAUUUCCAGUGGUAAUGACAAUUUAAGGAUAAAUUUGGGAAAGGUGGCACUGAAUAUGAACAUGUAACAUUGGGAAAUGAAUGAGUAUCAAAGAUGUACUACUGUGUAUAUGUGUAUAUAAUAUGUCUGUAAUCAUAAAUUCUGCUUCACUGAACAUCCAUGGAUAAACAAAAGGAAAAAAAAAAAACAAAGGUUAAUUUGCAAAGGUGAACUACAUUUACCCCUGAAUAAAACUGGUAGAGUUCUUUCAAAUAAUUGAAAUGAGUUGCAUUUUUAAAUGAGACUUGACAAGUGAUCAACCUUGGAGAAUCCGGAGUCAGAAUGUAUGGAUUAAUGGUGCAAAUUAACACAACUUAUUCCCCAUUGCAUUAAGUUGCAUUAAGAUAUGUUGCUUUACACCCCCUGACGGUUUAUCUAAAAGGCUUCAAACUCAUAGUCUCACAUUGCUAAAUCUCUCAAGCUAAAGAAGAAUUAUACAUUGUGAGUCUGUAUGAAACAGGCCAAGGAGGAAUCAUUCUGCCAUCAGAACUGAAAUUUAGUUGAUGCCUGUAAAAAUGUAAAUAAAAAAACUUACUUCUAAAAAAACGAAUGAAGAAAAAAAUAGCUGGGUGGGGUGAAGUUUGGAAGGGGGCUUCUCUAGGAAUGCAAUUGCAACAUCAUUUGUCUGCUCUGAAGAAACAAAUGUAUAACCACCAAACGUAGAAUUUUUGUGACUUUUUUUUCCUAAAAAUGGCAAACUCAAAGCAUUCUCAAAGUUAGGAUCAAACUCCAGCAAAUUUUGUGCAUCCUGAAAUAGCAUUUCAUUUCUAAAAAAAAAAAAAGGGGCAGGUGGUACAGCUGAAUAUAAAGAGCUGAGAAGACAGGCAAGAAAACUUAAUCUUUUAGACUGGUGCUCUGGAAAAGGCCACAUAGAUGUAGUUGCUCAGGUGAUUUCUCUAGGCAUUACAUUAAGUAUAAGCACAAAGGAACAAACAGUUCCAGGUAACAGUCACUUACACAGCUGUUCAGAGAGAAAGAGUAUUUUUUGACAGAAAAUUAGGCUAGUUCACAUGUAUUUAAAACACCAAAUGAACAAAUCUAAAUAAACUAACCACCACCACCAAAAAUAACAGAUACAGUAUUAAGUCAGUUGCACUUGUAACUUGUGAACAUGAACUCUUAAAAGAAUCAAAAACAUGCAUCUGAAGGUUCAACCCAGCAGGGCUGGCUAGCUGUUCAGCAGGUUGGUGCCAGAGACACCACAGGAACCAGUCAAUCCCAUGCUCCUGGGUGCUCCCAAGGUAUUUUCUGAUCAGUAGCUUGAAGGUGCAGGAAGCAACACAUUGUCAGAGCAUGAUAAGGCUGGUGCAUUGCUCAUGCACAGGAUUAGCCUGCUGCUAUAAGCUUUAGUCUAGAUCAUAACUCGGAAAAUGGAUUGUGUAGUAUAUUA